rnacentral:rRNA from 1 species
UACGAAGGGGGCUAGCGUUGCUCGGAAUCACUGGGCGUAAAGCGCACGUAGGCGGCUUACUAAGUCAGGGGUGAAAUCCUGGAGCUCAACUCCAGAACUGCCUUUGAUACUGGUGAGCUUGAGUCCGGAAGAGGUGAGUGGAACUGCGAGUGUAGAGGUGAAAUUCGUAGAUAUUCGCAAGAACACCAGUGGCGAAGGCGGCUCACUGGUCCGGUACUGACGCUGAGGCGCGAAAGCGUGGGGAGCGAACAGG